rnacentral:rRNA from 1 species
GUUGAACGCUGGCGGAAUGCUUUACACAUGCAAGUCGAACGGUAGAGGGGGCAACCCCUUGAGAGUGGCGAACGGGUGAGUAAUAUAUCGGAACGUGCCCAGUCGUGGGGGAUAACGUAGUGAAAAUUACGCUAAUACCGCAUACGAUCUAAGGAUGAAAGCGGGGGAUCGCAAGACCUCGCGCGAUUGGAGCGGCCGAUAUCAGAUUAGGUAGUUGGUAGGGUAAAGGCCUACCAAGCCAACGAUCUGUAGCUGGUCUGAGAGGACGACCAGCCACACUGGAACUGAGACACGGUCCAGACUCCUACGGGAGGCAGCAGUGGGGAAUUUUGGACAAUGGGCGAAAGCCUGAUCCAGCCAUUCCGCGUGCAGGAUGAAGGCCCUCGGGUUGUAAACUGCUUUUGUACAGAACGAAAAGGUCUCUAUUAAUACUAGGGGCUCAUGACGGUACUGUAAUAAUAAGCACCGGCUAACUACGUGCCAGCCGCCGCGGUAA